rnacentral:rRNA from 1 species
AACGAACGCUGGCGGCAAGCCUAACACUUGCAAGUCGAACGCUCGUAGCAAUACGAGAGUGGCAGACGGGUGAGUAACACGUGGGAACCUUCCCUAUGGUUCGGAAUAGCCCAGGGAAACUUGGGGUAAUACCGGAUAAGCCCUUACGGGGAAAGAUUUAUCGCCAUUGGAUGGGCCCGCGUCGGAUUAGCUAGUUGGUGGGGUAACGGCCCACCAAGGCGACGAUCCGUAGCUGGUCUGAGAGGAUGAUCAGCCACACUGGGACUGAGACACGGCCCAGACUCCUACGGGAGGCAGCAGUGGGGAAUAUUGGACAAUGGGCGCAAGCCUGAUCCAGCCAUGCCGCGUGAGUGACGAAGGCCUUAGGGUUGUAAAGCUCUUUUGGCGGGGAAGGUAAUGACGGUACCCGCAGAAUAAGCUCCGGCUAACUUCGUGCCAGCAGCCGCGGUAACAC